UUAAGCGACUAAGCGUACACGGUGGAUGCCCUGGCAGUCAGAGGCGAUGAAGGACGUGCUAAUCUGCGAUAAGCGCCGGUAAGGUGAUAUGAACCGUUAUAACCGGCGAUUUCCGAAUGGGGAAACCCAGUGUGAUUCGUCACACUAUCAUUAACUGAAUCCAUAGGUUAAUGAGGCGAACCGGGGGAACUGAAACAUCUAAGUACCCCGAGGAAAAGAAAUCAACCGAGAUUCCCCCAGUAGCGGCGAGCGAACGGGGAGGAGCCCAGAGCCUGAAUCAGCAUGUGUGUUAGUGGAAGCGUCUGGAAAGGCGCGCGAUACAGGGUGACAGCCCCGUACACAAAAGCGCAUGUGCUGUGAGCUCGAUGAGUAGGGCGGGACACGUGGUAUCCUGUCUGAAUAUGGGGGGACCAUCCUCCAAGGCUAAAUACUCCUGACUGACCGAUAGUGAACCAGUACCGUGAGGGAAAGGCGAAAAGAACCCCGGCGAGGGGAGUGAAAAAGAACCUGAAACCGUGUACGUACAAGCAGUGGGAGCACCCUUCGGGGUGUGACUGCGUACCUUUUGUAUAAUGGGUCAGCGACUUAUAUUCUGUAGCAAGGUUAACCGUAUAGGGGAGCCGGAGGGAAACCGAGUCUUAAUUGGGCGUUAAGUUGCAGGGUAUAGACCCGAAACCCGGUGAUCUAGCCAUGGGCAGGUUGAAGGUUGGGUAACACUAACUGGAGGACCGAACCGACUAAUGUUGAAAAAUUAGCGGAUGACCUGUGGCUGGGGGUGAAAGGCCAAUCAAACCGGGAGAUAGCUGGUUCUCCCCGAAAGCUAUUUAGGUAGCGCCUCGUGAAUUCAUCUCCGGGGGUAGAGCACUGUUUCGGCUAGGGGGCCAUCCCGGCUUACCAACCCGAUGCAAACUGCGAAUACCGGAGAAUGUUAUCACGGGAGACACACGGCGGGUGCUAACGUCCGUCGUGAAGAGGGAAACAACCCAGACCGCCAGCUAAGGUCCCAAAGUCAUGGUUAAGUGGGAAACGAUGUGGGAAGGCCCAGACAGCCAGGAUGUUGGCUUAGAAGCAGCCAUCAUUUAAAGAAAGCGUAAUAGCUCACUGGUCGAGUCGGCCUGCGCGGAAGAUGUAACGGGGCUAAACCAUGCACCGAAGCUGCGGCAGCGAACGUAUCACCCAAGACAACUUUACGGAGUUGACGAUUGACGGAGCGAAGCGACGUCAAAGCGUUCAUUAAAGUCGAGUUGGCUUAGGGAUACGUUCGUUGGGUAGGGGAGCGUUCUGUAAGCCUGUGAAGGUGUGUCGUGAGGCAUGCUGGAGGUAUCAGAAGUGCGAAUGCUGACAUAAGUAACGAUAAAGCGGGUGAAAAGCCCGCUCGCCGGAAGACCAAGGGUUCCUGUCCAACGUUAAUCGGGGCAGGGUGAGUCGACCCCUAAGGCGAGGCCGAAAGGCGUAGUCGAUGGGAAACGGGUUAAUAUUCCCGUACUUGGUGUUACUGCGAAGGGGGGACGGAGAAGGCUAUGUUGGCCGGGCGACGGUUGUCCCGGUUUAAGCGUGUAGGUGUGUGUUCCAGGUAAAUCCGGUUCACUUUAACACUGAGGCGUGACGACGAGGCACUACGGUGCUGAAGCAACAAAUGCCCUGCUUCCAGGAAAAGCCUCUAAGCAUCAGGUAACACGAAAUCGUACCCCAAACCGACACAGGUGGUCAGGUAGAGAAUACCAAGGCGCUUGAGAGAACUCGGGUGAAGGAACUAGGCAAAAUGGUGCCGUAACUUCGGGAGAAGGCACGCUGACACGUAGGUGAAGUGAUUUACUCAUGGAGCUGAAGUCAGUCGAAGAUACCAGCUGGCUGCAACUGUUUAUUAAAAACACAGCACUGUGCAAACACGAAAGUGGACGUAUACGGUGUGACGCCUGCCCGGUGCCGGAAGGUUAAUUGAUGGGGUCAGCGCAAGCGAAGCUCCUGAUCGAAGCCCCGGUAAACGGCGGCCGUAACUAUAACGGUCCUAAGGUAGCGAAAUUCCUUGUCGGGUAAGUUCCGACCUGCACGAAUGGCGUAAUGAUGGCCAGGCUGUCUCCACCCGAGACUCAGUGAAAUUGAACUCGCUGUGAAGAUGCAGUGUACCCGCGGCAAGACGGAAAGACCCCGUGAACCUUUACUAUAGCUUGACACUGAACAUUGAGCCUUGAUGUGUAGGAUAGGUGGGAGGCUUUGAAGUGUGGACGCCAGUCUGCAUGGAGCCGACCUUGAAAUACCACCCUUUAAUGUUUGAUGUUCUAACGUGGACCCGUAAUCCGGGUUGCGGACAGUGUCUGGUGGGUAGUUUGACUGGGGCGGUCUCCUCCUAAAGAGUAACGGAGGAGCACGAAGGUUGGCUAAUCCUGGUCGGACAUCAGGAGGUUAGUGCAAUGGCAUAAGCCAGCUUGACUGCGAGCGUGACGGCGCGAGCAGGUGCGAAAGCAGGUCAUAGUGAUCCGGUGGUUCUGAAUGGAAGGGCCAUCGCUCAACGGAUAAAAGGUACUCCGGGGAUAACAGGCUGAUACCGCCCAAGAGUUCAUAUCGACGGCGGUGUUUGGCACCUCGAUGUCGGCUCAUCACAUCCUGGGGCUGAAGUAGGUCCCAAGGGUAUGGCUGUUCGCCAUUUAAAGUGGUACGCGAGCUGGGUUUAGAACGUCGUGAGACAGUUCGGUCCCUAUCUGCCGUGGGCGCUGGAGAACUGAGGGGGGCUGCUCCUAGUACGAGAGGACCGGAGUGGACGCAUCACUGGUGUUCGGGUUGUCAUGCCAAUGGCACUGCCCGGUAGCUAAAUGCGGAAGAGAUAAGUGCUGAAAGCAUCUAAGCACGAAACUUGCCCCGAGAUGAGUUCUCCCUGAGACUUAGAGUCUCCUGAAGGAACGUUGAAGACGACGACGUUGAUAGGCCGGGUGUGUAAGCGCAGCGAUGCGUUGAGCUAACCGGUACUAAUGAACCGUGAGGCUUAACCUU
rnacentral:rRNA from 2 species